rnacentral:rRNA from 1 species
AACGAACGCUGGCGGCAUGCCUAACACAUGCAAGUCGAACGAGACCUUCGGGUCUAGUGGCGCACGGGUGCGUAACGCGUGGGAACCUGCCCUUAGGUUCGGAAUAACUCCCCGAAAGGGGUGCUAAUACCGGUUGAUGUCUUCGGACCAAAGAUUUAUUGCCUUUGGGUGGGCCCGCGUUGGAUUAGCUAGUUGGUAGGGGAAAAGCCUACCAAGGCGACGAUGCAUAGCUGGUCGGAGAGGAGGAUCAGCCACACUGGGACUGAGACACGGCCCAGACUCCUACGGGAGGCAGCAGUGUGGAAUAUUAGGCAAUGGGCGAAAGCCUGAUCCAGCAAUGCCGCGUGAGUGAUGAAGGCCUUAGGGUUGUAAAGCUCUUUUACCCGGGAUGAUAAUGACAGUACCGGGAGAAUAAGCUCCGGCUAACUCCGUG